AAUGUCCUGCUAGUGAUCUGUAGCCAUGAUGAUCCAAACAGACUUUCUGUGGAGUGUGGGGCUUGGCAAUUACCUCACCUGUGUCCUCUUUCGGAGGAUGGAGAACGAGGGUAAUAAUAGAACUGACCUCAUGGGUGGCUGGAGGCUUAACUGUAUAAUGCACGUGAAACCCUUUGCAUGGGGCCCUGGCCCGGGGACGAGCUGCCACGAAUGCCCUCCUGAUUAGAAAGUGCCCAGGGUACGUGGCAGGCGCCUUGGUGUUCUUGUUUAACGGUUCAGCUCAUCGGGUAAAGUUCAGUAAAUGACACCUUGCCCCAUUGCACAGCAUCCCUGGCGGACGCACAGGGUGGCCGAGGCUUCCCUUGCCCGGCAUGUUUUCCCAUUAGGCUCCCCCUUUAACACAUCUUGGUGCUGGCCCCCGGUGUCUUGCUCACCCGUCGUGGCUGUGUGCUAUCUCGUCGUGUGUGUUUAAGGCCAUGUGCUGCCCUGACAGUUAAGCCAUCACAGGAAAAUUUAGAGGAAGCAGGUGGGGUGAGCUGCUGAGCUGCAGAGAUGGUGAGAUGGUGGAGGGACUAGGGGAGCCAGUCAGAGCGGGGAGGCGGUCUUUCGCCCUCCAGGCCCCACCCCUAGCCCCGCCCCAGACCACGCCCCCGAAGGCGGUACUUCCCCAGCUCUCCGUUCCCACCCAGGGCUUGGCUCCCCAGGGUUUUGGGGCUGGGACUGCGCUCUGUUUGGAACUUGGUCUCCUUUGGCAGUAUCUCUCCGAAUUACAAAUACAGAAACCCUCUGUCCCAGCUGGGCUGCAGCCCAGCAGCAGUGCUACAGAUAAACGGAGACUUGUGGGACGUUAUUUAUGUACAAGGUUAUCCUUUGCAACAUUGUUUCUAAAAGCGAAGGGGUGAAAACAGCCCAAACCCCCAUCAGUGGGGAGCUGAUUAAAGAAACUGGCACAAUCCAAUAAUGGAAUACUGUACUAUGCAGCCGUAAAGAACAGGGAGGAACCAUCUCUAUGCUUUAUUAGGUGAAGUUACUACCUCUCAAAAUUCCAGAUACAGCCAAAGAAAUAAUCAAUAAUAGACCAGAAAGGCAACCUACAGAGCAGGAGAAAUGUCUGCAAACCUCAUAUCCGAUAAGGGCUGAUAUCCAAAAUCCAUAAGGGAUCGCCACAGCUCAAUAGCAAAGCAACAAACAACCUGAUGAAAGCACGGGCAGAGGGCUUGACUAGACAUUUCUCCAAAGAAGACACAGCUGGCCAACAGACAUGUGAAAAAAUGUUCAGCGUCACUCAUCAGCCGGGAAAUGCAAAUCCAAACUACUCUGAGGCAUCCCCUCUCACCCAUGAGGAUGGCACCUCCAAAAAAACCAAACAACAAAUGUUGGCGAGGAUGUGGAGAAAUUAUAACCUUGUGUGCUGUGGGUGGGGGAUGUACAGUGGGACAGCUGCUGUAGAAAUGGUCUGCAGUGUCCUCAAAAAAUUAAAAAUCGAACUGCUAGCUGAUCCAAUAUGCCACUUCUGGGUCUACGGCCAAGGGAUUGAGGCCAGGAUCUCAAAGAACUGUCUGCACUCUGCUGUUCAUGGCUGCACUCUUCCCAAUCGCCAAGAUGUGGAAACUCCCCCAGUUGACUGAUGGACUGAUAAAGAAAAUGUGGUGUAGACAUACAACGGAGUGCUAUUCCGCCUUACAAAGAGAGGGAAAUCCUGCCAUAUAUGCAAAUGAUGUGAAUGCACUUGUGGGACAGCGUGCGAAGUAACAUCAAGCCAGACAUAGAAAGACAAACACUAUGCCAUUCUACUUAGAAGAGGCAUCAAAAGUAGUCAGACUCAGAGAAGCAGAGAAUAGUGUGGUGGUUGCCAGGGCCUAGUGCCCCGGGGAAUGGGGAGUUUGCUGUUCAACAGGUCUAGAAAGUUUCAGGCCAAAUGAGUACAUUCUAGGGGCACCUGGGUGGCUCAGUCCUUAAGCAUCUGCCUUCGCCCCAGGGCGUGAUCCCGCAUCAGGCUCCCUGCCCCACUGGGAGCCUGCUGCUUCUCUCCCACUCCCCCUGCUUG